GUCAAGGGCUUGGGACUGGAGGAGCAGCCGACUGGAGCUGAUAUUCGGGAAGCUAAGCCUGAGGCUGCUCUGGAGGGCCGGGGAAGCGAGCGGCCAGGCUUGGCACCCGCCAAAUGUGCCAUGCCAAAAUGAAGAGGACGGAAAGCGACUCUGGAGCCCAGCAGGUCAGCGCUCCUAGGGGAUGCUGGGCGGGCUAGAGGUGUGGGGGCGUCUCGUUCCAGUACUCCCCCCCGGCGACGCGGAAACCCGGCUUGCAGUUUGUUUCGCUCGGUCCGGCGCCCAGUAGGAGAAAGACUGUCCCACAGCCUCGCGGUAGCAGACUCUCGCAACCCAGCCGCCCCAAACCCGCCGCCGCCGCUCCUCCCGCGCUUCUCGCCCCUGAUUCUAGAUGCAGCUGACUUGUUGCAUGCAGAAGAGCCGCUGGGUUCCGCGUUCCAAGCCUCUCCUCUUUGCUUUGCCUGCCACCAAAUCUGAGCGCCAGGAGUCCGGGGACUCUGCCGGACAGCACCCAGAGAGCCCAGAACCGCAGGAAAAAAUGUGAAAACUACCAGGAGACCACUGGGUAAUCGCCCCAGUGCAAAGGGCCCUUCUUCCUACCCGCCGCAAUUGCGGCAAAUAAUUCCAGGAAGGGGAAUGAGAGGCGCUAGGGAUUGCGCCCUGGGGGAGCCCUUAUCUGCUGAAAGGGAGCGUCUAAUGCGGUUGCUUCCUAGUGUAUAGCCUUUCCACUCCGCGGACCAAGCGCCUCUCCUUCGAGUCGCUACCCGCUUGGAGUUGGCUGAGAAUCAGGCUGCUAAAUGUCCCUGGAGCCCCUCCCGCAGCAAAUCCGAGCCCCCAGCUUCAGCACCAGAGGCUGGACAGCGCCCCGACCCUAGGGUGCCGAUGGUCUGUGCCUGCGCGCGGCUCGGCCUCCCAGCCCCACGCCACUUGCGCUCGCGGCCCCUCAGAUCCCACGCGGAGGAGGUCGGGAGGUGACACAGGUUCGUGGAAGAAGGCGGGAUUCAUCUUCCUCAUUUCUCCAGGGAUUUAGGUGUGGGAAUCUAGGAGAGCAUUCUCUCUCGCCCUGGCUACGACCAGUGGAAAAACUUGGCGCCAAAUGCAGGCAAUGGUGCUGGGAGCAGAGGAACGAUUGCAGGCGGUGAGCAAAGGGGCAAGCGGGACAGAGGAUCUACUGCGAGCCCCAGGCUCUGGUGUUCCGUGAAAAAUCGCCACAUUUAAAUCCUGCGCUCCCCCGCGCUCCCUCUCGCUCUCUCUCCUUUCUUUUUUCCCUUCCUUCCUUCCUCCCCGCGCUCUCUGUACGCCUUAAUGAGAAUGCGUGAAAGGGAAAGAGUGGGGUGAAGGGAGAAGAUAUUGAAGCCGAGGUAAGAAGCACAUUUUAUCUAGGUCUUAACACUCAAGCGUGGAUGAAAUCUGUCCAAAAAGAACAUCAAGGUACGCGUUUUUUACCCAAAGGGGCCCAAAGUGACCUUUGUAUGAGGAGCAAAGAUGAUUGUUUGACCAAGAAGGGGAACAGCGGAGGGAGAGACGCUAUCACAAAAGGGCAAACGGAGGUGGAGGAGGAAGAGAAGGGACAGGGCUUCAGGCACUAGCAUGGUUACCAGGCAACCAAUCGCAGCCCCUGCCUCCUGUUGCCUUGGUUACGGUGGGUGGAGGGGCUUUGGCCACUGAUUAUCCAUGAAGACCUAGAUUAUUUAAAAUAUCUCCUGGGGAGCCCCUGCCUUCUCCGGGCUAGGUGAGAGGCGCACUGAUCCCGCAUAAGGCCCCGUCUGGGGAAAUCCUGGAAGAUGUUUGUUGUUUGUUCGUUUGUUUGUUUUUCUUUUAAGUCAAGGCGCAUAGCAAAGCAACUUACCUUGCCACCACUACAGUCCUCCCCUCCCCCGCUCCACCCCACUGGCUUCAUUUCUCCAGGAUUUACAAUUUGGGCUUUUAUAUUUUUCAUUUAGUCCUUUAUACUGGAGGAGCUGAGUUCCUGUCCCCAUCCUCUCUUUUUCCCCCUUAAAAUGAGAAAAAAAAAAUUUGCUUUUUAUGAAUGAACAGGAGGGAAACAAGGAAAUUGUCCAAGGGUGUCUACUAUAGAGAGAAGCUUUCUCCCUGGUUUAAGAGUCAUCUCUCCCCCCAGUAAACCACUCCCCUCAGGGGAGGGGGCUGAAUUCUGGAUUACCCUCACUUCUCACCUUGCCCCAUAGACCACAUAGAAAGCACAGGCAGAGGGAAAUGUGUCUCCCUUAGCAAAUGGACACUAGCAUCACUCUCAUUUGAUUCCUCAAGAUUCUCUCCUCUUUUCUUCCUCCCCAGCAUUGCCUUCAUAAUUAGCAAAUACAGCACCUGAAGCUUCUAACCCUCUGAGUUUUUCUGUUUCCCUUGAUGGACAAACAUUGUCAAUCAAUGUUUCACCUGUCAGCCUUGCCUUGCCUGUGUUCAUUUGAAACAUCUGGGUAGGAAAUUAUUUCACUCAUAAUUUUCGGAAGGCAGCUGUAACAUUCUCAGAGUGAUUUCAGAGGAAAUUGCUAGCAAGUUACCAGAACAGCCUGUGCUCUGUGCACUAUUUCACCUCAAAUAUGUCUGUUUAAGAGCCAUGAAUUUUCUCUUUUCCAAACAACAACAACAACAACAAAAAGAACUUUGUUUUAAACUGAGGUAUUACUUGACAACACAGGAAUGGAGAAUAUUUCCGUUUCAGGCAGUAACUAUAAUAUGGUUAUCUGUGGUGCCCUGCACCAGUAAACACACAUGUCUUUUCUUUUUUCAUCUUGUUCUCUUCAUUUCUCUCCAUUUCCUUCAUUUAUUAUUAAUGUAAAAAUUUUUGAUCAUUGUAAUUUCAGCAUAAGUUUAAAAGGCCAAAAAUUCCCUCAGUGAACUGACUUGAUAGUUUUGGGGGUAUUUACAUUAAAAUGCUUUUCUCUCACAUGUUACUAUAGAAACUUCCCUUUAGACCAGACCAGACAGCUGGUCUGCUUUUUGUACUUUUCUUCCCAAAGAAGUGCUUUCCUUUAUGAAUUCUCUGUGGCAGCUAUCAUUGAUUACAUCAGUAAUGUCCCAUAGCAACAGUUGAUUUUUUUUUUAAUUAUUAUUCACUUUCUGCUUAUUUUCUUUAUGGACAAAGGGUCUACUUUCCUUUCAAGAAGAUAACUGAGCUCUUAUUGGCUGGAAAGGAAGAAGCAUUCUUUCAUUGGUUGGUGUGUAUUGCCUUGUCAACCAAUAAGAGGAUGCCAUUUAUCCUUUUCUGACUAGCUGAGUGAGCAGGGUGCACAGAAGGAUUGAAUCUGCCUUAGUUCCAUCCAGUAGCCAAGGAUAGAACUCAGAGUACUGAACUCAGGAUCUGCAAUUGACUUUGGCUAAUCCAGAUUGCACUGACUUGCAAGGAUGACGUUUUUUACCUAUCUAUUCAUAGCUUACUUCAACGUACCUGCCUUAUACAUUGUCCUAUGGCUUUUUUCCCCUUCAUUUUAGGAGAUACUGUGAUCAUCUUUCCAAGUCAGUGCAGGUUAUUGUUACCAGCACACUGAGGGUCCAGAGAAUUUUGUGAUUUCCCCUAAAAGUAGAUAAUUGGCCCUCAUUAUUAGAGAUUUGGUGAAAACUUUUGGAGAUGAAGAUGGAAAGCUAGAAGUUGGAAGAGCUGCAUUGCGUGUGACGCAGAAUGGAUAUCUCAGCUUUUGGAUUCACGCUGCUCAGCUCUCAGCUUUGGUGUUUUGUGUUUGGUGUUUGGUGUCCUCUCCACUUUGAUUUUUAUUUGUUUGUUUUUCCACUUUCAUUCUUCAGAGCUGCGCUUUCGGCCCGAAUUUUCAGUGACAAAUAGAAAAGCUGAAUGGAUGGAGACAAUGACUCUCUAAUUCAGUGUAAGAGCUGACUCAUCGCUUCCCAGGAAGACUUGUUGCAGUCUUACUCAGGGAUGCUGGCAUUGGUCCCCACUUCCCUAAAAAGAGGGGAAGUCAAAGUUCUUUCCCUUUUGGGACAGAAACUCUCUGAUAACAGCCUGGAAGAAGCCUUAACAAAACAUCUCUGGUAACCACCCUGAACACCCCUCGGCAGACUCUUCCAGAAACACGGACAAACUAUGGUUUGAGCAGGGAAGUGGGGCAGGGUCUCUGUUUUCAGGGAGCAGUGGACUGCUUCCAUACCACUGCCUGAAGGGCAGGGGGAGAAAAACCCUCCUUAAUUACUAAUUCCCCCAACAAUCAUUUUGGGGCACCUAUAAUGGAGGCAUCUUGUGACCCCACACCCUGGGGUUCAGGGCCUCGUUGUCUGUGGCCCGACAGCCACAGUAUACGCAGGUACCAAGAGGUAUGUACUGGAGACCAAGGUUGCCGGAUGUUCGGUGCACCUGGCAGCAAGGGGGCACACCUGAGCUCAGAGCUUGUCUGGUGCCUGCCCCACAACUGAGGGAGUGGACUUGUGUAUAUGGAAUUUCUUGAUCUUAGUACAUGCCUCUCUGCUGUGACAUCCAGAAGUAUGGCCAAGAGAAAAACAGUCCAGUGCUUGGGGGCCAUCCCCCACUGUGGCAGGAAUACGAUUAGAAUUAGUGAUCAGAAAAAGCAUUUCCCAGGCUUUUUUUUUUUUUUUUUUUUUUUUUUUU